rnacentral:rRNA from 1 species
GUGCCAGCAGCCGCGGUAAUACGAAGGAUUCGAGCGUUAUCCGGAUUUAUUGGGUUUAAAGGGUGCGUAGGUGGAUUAAUAAGUCAGUGGUGAAAGCCCCUCGCUUAACGAGGGAACUGCCAUUGAUACUGUUAGUCUUGAGUACAGUUGAGGUGGGCGGAAUGUGUCAUGUAGCGGUGAAAUGCUUAGAUAUGACACAGAACACCGAUUGCGAAGGCAGCUCACUAAGCUGUAACUGACACUGAGGCACGAAAGCGUGGGGAGCAAACAGGAUUAGAAACCCCCGUAGUCC